rnacentral:rRNA from 1 species
AUUGAACGCUGGCGGCAGGCCUAACACAUGCAAGUCGAACGAGUGGCGGACGGGUGAGUAAUGUCUGGGAAACUGCCUGAUAGGGGGGGAUAACUACUGGAAACGGUAGCUAAUACCGCAUCCCAUCAGAUGUACCCAUAUGGGAUUAGCUAGUUGGUGGGGUAAAGGCUCACCAAGGCGACGAUCCCUAGCUGGUCUGAGAGGAUGACCAGCAACACUGGAACUGAGACACGGUCCAGACUCCUACGGGAGGCAGCAGGGGGGAAUAGGGCACAAUGGGCGCAAGCCUGAUGCAGCCAUGCCGCGUGUAUGAAGAAGGCCUUAGGGUUGUAAAGUACUUUCAGCGGGGAGGCGUUACCCGCAGAAGAAGCACCGGCUAACUCCGUGCCAGCAGCCGCGGUAAUAC